rnacentral:rRNA from 1 species
UACGUAGGGGGCAAGCGUUGUCCGGAAUCAUUGGGCGUAAAGCGCGUGUAGGCGGCCCGAUAAGUCCGCUGUGAAAGUCCAGGGCUCAACCCUGGAAUGCCGGUGGAUACUGUCGGGCUAGAGUGCGGAAGAGGCGAGUGGAAUUCCUGGUGUAGCGGUGAAAUGCGCAGAUAUCAGGAGGAACACCUAUUGCGAAGGCAGCUCGCUGGGACGUAACUGACGCUGAGACGCGAAAGCGUGGGGAGCAAACAGG